UACAGAGGGUGCAAGCGUUAAUCGGAAUUACUGGGCGUAAAGCGUGCGUAGACGGUAGCGUAAGUCGGGUGUGAAAGCCCCGGGCUCAACCUGGGAAUUGCAUUCGAGACUGCUCUGCUAGGGUGCGGAAGAGGGAAGCGGAAUUUCCUGUGUAGCGGUGAAAUGCGUAGAUAUAGGAAGGAACACCAGUGGCGAAAGGCGACCACCUGGACUGAUACUGACACUGAGGUGCGAAAGCGUGGGGAGAAACAGG
rnacentral:rRNA from 1 species